rnacentral:rRNA from 1 species
UUGGAGGGCAAGUCUGGUGCCAGCAGCCGCGGUAAUUCCAGCUCCAAUAGCGUAUAUUAAAGUUGUUGCAGUUAAAAAGCUCGUAGUUGAAUUUCGGGGUCAGUAGGUUGGUCGUGCCACCGGUACGUACUGGUCUCACUGAUUCCUCCUUCCUGAUGAGCUGUAAUGCCAUUAAUUUGGUGUUGCAGGGAAUCUGGACUGUUACUUUGAAAAAAUUAGAGUGUUUAAAGCAGGCUAACGCUUGAAUACAUUAGCAUGGAAUAA